rnacentral:lncRNA from 1 species
ACUGGAGUCAAGGCCAAGGAGCUUCUCAUCUGGGUCAGUGUCAGUGAGAUCUAUACAGAGGAGAAAGAGAAGAUCACGUUCAAGUCACCAACCACACUGUCCAGGACUUUCCCUGUCCCAGCUUUUAUUGUCCCAGAGGAAGUGGAACCUGCCAAGGAAGAACCUGUCAAGGAGAAGAGCAGUGAAGCCGCCGAGGUUACGGAGGCUGUUGCAGUCAAGGAGGCCUAAUCAAGCCGAGAGUUAGUAGUGUUUCUCACUGCUCUUACGCUCAUGUAUUACCUACCACUCGUUUCUGCUUCUUUUACUACCUGUAAUAAGAUGUCACCAACAUCCUCCUGUUAUACAAAAAAAUACCGAAAUUAUCUAUAAACUACAUUAAAGCUGGUUAUGUAUGUGACUUCAAGAACACUGGAAACAUAUUAGCAAGCCAAAGUGAAAGCUACAUCGAGAUCUUUUCAAAAUGUUUUACAACCUCAAAAAGUUUCCCUCACGUGUUAAAUCGUGUGCAUACCCACUUACAUGGCGUACUGCUUAUUCUUUACUAUGUAUAGCAACAUCGUUCAUAUGCACUGGCUAUAGUUACUUACCCGCUGCUCGAUAAGAAGUUACAGCGUAGCUUCACUCUAUAUUUCAAUUACAUUGAUUGAGGUUUUGAAUCAUUUUCUUUCAAGUAAUUGCUCAACUGAAAUAUUGAUCGAGGUUUUGAAUCAUUUUCUUUCACGUAGUUGCUCAACUGAAUUCAUCAGACGAGGAUCUUGAAGAUGAAGGUUGCAUCGAAAUCAUAAAGAAACGUAAAUUUUCUGAAGCUAAACAUACGCCAUAGGAGAUACAAAAAUGUUAUAUAGGGUAAAAUCGAAAAUGUCAAAUACAUGUAAAAGAGAAUAUAAUAAACCUCUUUCUUAAUCCCUUGCAAAAUAUUAUAUUGGUAAAACGAAUCAGUAAAAAAAACAUGGUGUGGCUUAUGGCAAAUCUUCUUUAUACACUGCCUUUUGCUCACUAAAACAUGUUCUUCUUUUCAGACAAGGGUAAAGGCAGAUUGUACCGUGGACUGGAACCGUGAUGCGAUUGUCUGUGAGGCAAACUGCUGAAACUGUUUCUUUGCAUCUGCCAACAAAUAAAAAGUGUUAAGUCUAAUGAUCUAUAGCCCAUUUGACUAUUAUAAGGGCUAUACUGGAAUGGAUCUUACCUUUCUUGCACUUUGUGAAGCCGAUGAUAUUAGCCGCGUUAAGGGACAAGCAAACGCCGACAACAAGCAGAUAGUCGGCCUGAAACCUUAUCAGUGAAAAUAUCCCAAGGACUAACCACGCAGCUGCCUGAAGAUAGGACAAACAAAAAACAAGAUUCAGCUGCGGUAAAAGACAGCAUAAUGUUUUCACAAGUUUGUAAUUGCUGACGCUAGAACACUAAACCCAUUGCUACCACCAUCUCAAGGCUCAUUCUUACUCUCUAUAGGUCGCCUUGUAAUGCAACUGAGCCUAUAGGGUUUUAAGCUACCAACUAUUAGUCAAUCUGAUAAUGCAGGAUCAUAGGAUAUACUAAUGCAAUUUCAACAUGCACAAUAACAGUGGUCAACUUUUAGUCCCCCAGAUUACUUCUCCCUAAUCUCCCUAUUUUGCAAUGUGUAUGCGGGUGAUUGACUCAAAUGUCAAUUGCCACUAACUCAGAAGGAGAAUCGUUUGUCACAAACUCAUAGAUAAAAACUCAUUUAAACGUUAGCUUGUUGGUGGGAUGAGAGAAGUCAGCGAUCUAUAUAUGGUUAGUGUGGGAUACUAAAAGACAGCUUCGAAAUUCGUCUCACCGUUUGCAAAACAUUUGCUUCAUCAUUAGGGUCAUGUUCAUUCUUUCCUAUUCUUACUUCUACUCCUCCACUAAAGUUCCGGUGAGUGAAAAGUGACAAGCUCAUAGGCAAGUAAGCAUAGAUAGGAACAACUAGUUGAAACAUUUGGGGUCGUGUUCAUUAUUGCCCGUUCUUACUACUAAUCCUAAUGCUCCACAAAAGUUUCAGGUGCAUUGCAAACAGGUUUAAGCGAUAAGCUACAAACUGUAGUCAAAGAUAGGAACUACUCACUGCAAGGUAAAGCGUCCACCAGAAAAGCCAGGAGUCUUUCUUGUUCAUCCGAGCCAAGGACUGAUACACAGACAAACGAAAUAAAUGAGGUAAAAACUAGUAAGAAUUUUUUGCUUAAUGAAUAAAGUAAAAAGUAAAAGCAUUAAGCAAAAAAGAGAGGGCUAACCUCCUGGUCAAGAGACUCAAACUUCCAGACACUUUCACCCAAGUCAUUGAUCUCGUUCCACCACCUGAGACCAACAAGUAUACGCCCACUCACAUUCUUAACCACCCAGAAGUCAAGUGCCGCGAGAAGAACAGUCACCACAAAGAUAAUAACAAAGCUGUUGAAGAAGAGAGCCGAGAGAAUGUAAAACGCCAACGCAGCACCCUGCCCCCAAAAACAAACUUGUUACCAUUCUCCACCUCACUUAUAAAAAAAAGUCUAAAAAGACUCAUACUCAGGCUCAUCAUACCUUGAAGAGAACAUGGAAGAGACACGUCUUCGGAUUCGCAUAGUUUUCAACUGGUGGCUGCAUUGAAUUAACAACGAGAAUAAUCACAUCUGAGUCUAAUUAAACCGAUUCUUAACAUAGCAUUUCUAUCUAGCUCAAGCCUUCCAAAUUCUAAUGUCUACACACACAUUCUCCUCCGAGACGAAUUCGAAGAGCACAGAUCUAACACAAUCACGUCCAGAUCGAGCAGCUAAUCGAGCUUAAUCAAGAAUCGGAUAAGCAAUCUAGCUCAGAAAUUAAUCAUUCACCUGGUUAGGAUCCAUCUUUCGAAGUAUCCGAAUGUAUCAACCCCGACGCCGAUCAGAAGAUGGAAUCCUAAUACUGAUCUUCCCUCCGAGAAAAUUAUCUUCGUUCGGUACCAGCAGAUCUUCAAACUCUUGCGCGUGUUUUCUUAGCGUUUUAAUUCUAAUCUAUAGGCCCAAGUGAGUGUCCUUUAUAGCCCAUUAGGCCCAAUAUAAAAGGUUGGGUUAAGAAUCUAGUACAAAUAUCAAUGCCUUAACACACACGUAACAAGAUUUCACUAAUGUCAAACCCUAAAAGAGACCUAACAUAGUUUGUUUUUCUUUCUUGCUUCACCAUCUGGCUGAAAAUCUAGUAUAGAUAUAGGUUCCUUAGUACGCACAUAAAGAUCUAACACUUUCAAACCCUAAAAAACAGAAUCUAGUACAAACUGUCUUUUCACCUACAUUUUUGGCUACAAUAUCUCGUUUUCAGGUUACAUUGUUCACAACAAUAAUUGUUGUGUGUUGAUGAUUGCCAUAGUCACCCAUAACCUGCUCAACCAUGCCCAUUAAUGCAUUUUACAUGCACCGUAUACCACACAACCUAUAUAUAACAAGGUUAAGUCGCCUCUUAUCACAACACACAACUUCAGCUUUGAGGUAAAGCUUAAACUAAAAAAACAGAGCAGAGAUGGGUUUGGUCACACAGGAGGUGAGAGCUAAGGCAGAGAAGUACACCGGAGAUGAGAUAUGCCGAGAGAAGACAAAAGUCUUCCUCAAGGAAAUAUCUAUGCCUAAUGGUUUACUACCGUUGAAGGACAUUGAAGAGGUAGAACUGGAGAAUCUUAUGUAACUUGAUUUGUCUGUACAGUCUUAUAUUAUGGGUCAAAAAAUUUAAUUACAUGUUUGGUUGCGUUCCUCACGUUAUUCAAGCAUGAUGUUUGAUAUUUAUAUGUUCCAGGUUAAGCCUGCCCUGCCAGUUCUUCGGCAACUUAUCUAUCUAAAUGAUGAAGAAGUUCUCACAGAUGCCUGCUGGGCUCUAUCUUACCUUUCAGAUGGCCCCAAUGAUAAGAUCCAAGCUGUGAUCCAGGCUGGUGUUUGUCCACUACUUGUGGAGCUUCUGAGGUUAGCUCAAUUUUGCUAUAUUAUUGCUAUAUUAGCUGGUCUUGUAGUUUUGUUCUUCAGAUUCUUAUCCCCCAACAAUGGUGUUUGACAUUUUCAAAUUUGUGAUGUUUUUAAUACCUCUUAGAAAUUGAGUGUUAGUGUACUGACUAAUAUAUAUAUAUAUAUAUAUAUUUCUUCAAGUCAUCCAUCACCUACGGUUCUCAUUCCUGCGCUUCGAACUGUUGGGAACAUUGUAACUGGUGAUGACUCUCAGACACUGGUAUGAUCUGUGAAGAAUGUUUCUAUAUAAUGUUUGAUUGUUUUGUUUAACAUUUUGACAGCAGCUGUGUUUUUGCUUUUCAGUUUAUAAUUGAUAGUGGAGCUUCUGAGGUUAGUUCCUUUCCGAGGAUGGACUUGUAACAAAAAAUGGUGGUUAAGAAGGUAGUUAAGGAGAUUUACCAACCAGUUUUAUAAGGAUUGUUAGCUACGCUCAAAUGUUUAGAGUAUAUAUAUAUGGUGCAUCUCUCUUUUAAGUUUCAUAUCUGAAAACCAUUUUCAAACAAAGAAUGAGUACUCCUCUCACAUCUUCCUAAGUUUAAAGGUUAUAACAGUUGAGCUGUUACUUCGAAACAAUAUAUUUGAGAUGUCAUGCAUAAUGAUAAAACUUGAAAUAAUAAUAAGAUUUGAUUUGAUUUGAUUGGACCAAGUUUAUAGUGAAACAGUACCAAGGCAUCAAGUUUCAAGAUAGUAAGGUGACAAAUCACAAUCAGUAAGUUAGACGUUGGAACUCUUGUAAUUAUGUGAACUACAAUGUUUACUUGAAUUCUAAAGAUAUUAUUCAAUUCGAUUUAUACCAAAAAUAAUUGAGGACACAACGGUUACUGGUUAGCUGUUGAAGAAAAGGUGAGUUGAUAGGCCCUGCAUUUACACGCAGAGGGCCAUGCAUGCACCAUCUAUCAUAUAACAAGUAACAACAAUAAUUGCUAUCACUAUUGUCUGAUGAUGAUUACUAUAGUCACCCAUAGACCUGCCCAACCAUGUCCAUUAAUGCUUUCUCCAUGUACCGCAUACCACACAACCUAUAUAUAACAAGGUUAAGUCGCCUCUUACCACAACACACAACUUCAGCUUUGAGGUAAAGCGUAAACUUUAAAAGAAAAACAGAACAGAGAUGGGUUUGGUCACAGAGGAGGUGAGAGCUAAGGCAGAGAAGUACACCGGAGAUGAGAUAUGCCGAGAGAAAACAAAAGUCUUCCUCAAGGAAAUAUCUAUGCCCAAUGGCUUACUACCGUUGAAGGACAUUGAAGAGGUUGGGUACGACAGAGAGUCAGGUGUUGUGUGGCUGAAGCAGAAACAGAGCAUCACCCACAAGUUCGAAACGAUCGAUAAGCUUGUCUCCUACGGAACCGAGGUCACUGCCGUUGUCCAGACGGGUAAGAUCAAGAAGCUCACUGGAGUCAAGGCCAAGGAGCUUCUCAUCUGGGUCAGUGUCAGUGAGAUCUAUACAGAGGAGAAAGAGAAGAUCACGUUCAAGUCACCAACCACACUGUCCAGGACUUUCCCUGUCCCAGCUUUUAUUGUCCCAGAGGAAGUGGAACCUGCCAAGGAAGAACCUGUCAAGGAGAAGAGCAGUGAAGCCGCCGAGGUUACGGAGGCUGUUGCAGUCAAGGAGGCCUAAUCAAGCCGAGAGUUAGUAGUGUUUCUCACUGCUCUUACGCUCAUGUAUUACCUACCACUCGUUUCUGCUUCUUUUACUACCUGUAAUAAGAUGUCACCAACAUCCUCCUGUUAUACAAAAAAAUACCGAAAUUAUCUAUAAACUACAUUAAAGCUGGUUAUGUAUGUGACUUCAAGAACACUGGAAACAUAUUAGCAAGCCAAAGUGAAAGCUACAUCGAGAUCUUUUCAAAAUGUUUUACAACCUCAAAAAGUUUCCCUCACGUGUUAAAUCGUGUGCAUACCCACUUACAUGGCGUACUGCUUAUUCUUUACUAUGUAUAGCAACAUCGUUCAUAUGCACUGGCUAUAGUUACUUAC